rnacentral:rRNA from 1 species
AGAGUUUGAUCCUGGCUCAGAAUGAACGCUGGCGGCGUGCUUAACACAUGCAAGUCGAACGGUAACAGGACUAGCUUGCUAGUUGCUGACGAGUGGCGCACGGGUGAGUAAUAUAUAGUUAACGUGCCCCUAAGCCUGGGAUAGCCACUGGAAACGGUGAUUAAUACUGGAUAUUCCUUCUACUUAUAAGAGUAGUUGGGAAAGGUUUUUCGCUAAGGGAUCGGACUAUAUUGUAUCAGCUAGUUGGUGAGGUAAGAGCUCACCAAGGCAAUGACACAUAGCGGGUUUGAGAGGAUGAUCCGCCACACUGGUACUGAGACACGGACCAGACUCCUACGGGAGGCAGCAGUGAGGAAUAUUGCGCAAUGGGCGAAAGCCUGAUGCAGCAACGCCGCGUGGAGGAUGACGCAUUUCGGUGUGUAAACUCCUUUUAUAUGUCAAGAAAAUGACGGUAGCAUAUGAAUAAGCACCGGCCAACUCCGUGCCAGCAGCCGCGGUAAUACGGAGGGUGCAAGCGUUAUUCGAAAUCACUGGGCGUAAAGGACGCGUAGGCGGGUUGGUAAGUCAGAUGUGAAAUCCUACAGCUUAACUGUAGAACUGCAUUUGAAACUACUAACCUAGAGUAUGGGAGGGGGAGAUGGAAUUAGUGGUGUAGGGGUAAAAUCCGUAGAUAUCACUAGGAAUACCGAAAGCGAAGGCGAUCUCCUGGAACAUAACUGACGCUAAGGCGUGAAAGCGUGGGGAGCAAACAGGAUUAGAUACCCUGGUAGUCCACGCCCUAAACGAUGAACACUAGUCGUCGGGAUGCUAGUCAUCUCGGUGAUGCACUUAACAGAUUAAGUGUUCCGCCUGGGGAGUACGGUCGCAAGAUUAAAACUCAAAGGAAUAGACGGGGACCCGCACAAGUGGUGGAGCAUGUGGUUUAAUUCGAAGAUACGCGAAGAACCUUACCUAGCCUUGACAUUGAUUGAACACUUUAGAAGAUAGAGUGGUGCCCUUCGGGGAACAUGAAAACAGGUGCUGCACGGCUGUCGUCAGCUCGUGUCGUG